GAUGAACGCUGGCGGCGUGCCUAAUACAUGCAAGUCGAGCGAACAGACGAGGAGCUUGUGCCUCUGACGUUAGCGGCGGACGGGUGAGUAACACGUGCAUAACCUACCUAUCAGACUGUGAUAACUUCGGGAAACCGGAGCUGAUACCUGCUAAUAUAUUGAACCGCAUGGUUCAAUAGGGAAAUUCGGGUUUUCUUUAACUUGUAGAGGGAUCGCCGCCGCAUUAGCUAGUUGGUAAGGUAACGGCUUACCAAGGCAACGAUGCGUAGCCGACCUGAGAGGAUGAUCGGCCACACUGGAACUGAGACGCGGUCCAGACUCCAACGGGAGGCAGCAGUAGGGAAUCUUCCGCAAUGGGCGAAAGCCUGACGUAGCAACGCCGCGUGAGUGAUGAAGGUCUUCGGAUCGUAAAACUCUGUUAUUAGGAUGGAACAAAUGUGUAAGUAACGAGGCACGUCUUGACGGUACCUAAUCAGAAAGCCACGGCUAACUACGUG
rnacentral:rRNA from 1 species